rnacentral:rRNA from 1 species
AGAGUUUGAUCAUGGCUCAGGAUAAACGCUGGCGGCAUGCCUAAUACAUGCAAGUCGAACGGAGAACAAGAAGCUUGCUUCUUGUGAUCAGUGGCGAACGGGUGAGUAACACGUAGUUAACCUACCCAACGGACUGGGACAACUUUUGGAAACGAAAGCUAAUACCGGAUAGGAAGAAAUUUUAAAGAAGCGAUUGCUUC